CCCCCCCCGCUCUCUCUCUACUGGUGUGCUUGAUUGCCUUGUCGUUUGCCUCUCCACUCUCUCUCUCUGCUGGCGAUGUGUGUUUGUCGUCAUCAUGAAUCACAGUUUGGGGAUCGAUUGCUUCCUAGGUUAUUUGGGGCCUGAAUGAAUGGUGAUUCCCCCGUCCUUGGAGGGGCAGUCAACUGAAUCGACUUUUUAUAAUAUUCUAUCUAUACAAGAUUGCAGUCGGCAAGGACACAACAUCUCACUUUGCCUUCCUCAUUCAUAGUCACUGGUGAGGCAUGAGGCGCUCAGGUGAGGUGAUUCGACCAUUCCCCCUAUUCAUUUUGUUGCCAAUUCCAUUGAAUCCUUGGGGCUGCUCAUUGUUGUUUCGAUCUAUUUGAUUUUUUGUUAAUUUGUCUUUGGCAUUUGAUGGGUUACUCACUGCCCCCAAAAUAAUUUUGCAAAUCUGGAAUUCAUAGAAAUAUUUUGAAUAUGAUUUUUGUUAAUUUGUCUUUGGCAUUUGAUAGGUUACUCAUUGCCCCCAAAAUAAUUUGCAAAUUUGGAAUUCAUAGAAAUAUUUUGAAUAUGAUUUUUGUUAAUUUGUCUCUGGCAUUUGAUCACUUACUCACUGCCCCCCAAAAUAAUUUGCAUUUUCGAAUCCAUACAAAUAGUUUAAUUCUAAUAUGUUAUUUUGUCCUUUGUUUCAUUUUUUUUAUCUUUUCUAGGUUUUUUCUAUUCGUUGAUUUAUUAUCUGUUGGUUACAAAUUUCAGGUGACGAAGUCACUUGUUUCACUCGAAUAUAGUCAACAAAAAAAAUCAAGUGAAACAAAGGAGAAAUUCACCUGAGUGUUAGAAUCACUCAAAUCACUCAAGUUAGUUAUAUUACGAAUCGAAAAAAAAAUUGAACUAAGAAGAGUUGGAGGUGCACCUAAGAUUCACCCAUUUGCAGCCCUAGGUUUGUGCCAAAGACGUUCCCCAGUGUUCCCUCUGUAUCAGUAGCUAGCGAUUCUGUAUGUGCAUCAACCUCCCGCCCAGUUCAGAAUCGAAUGUGAGCGUGGCAGAACAGGUUUUCUAGGACAGGAACUUUGUGUUCCCUGAGCUGGUUUCUAGCAACUUUAAGACGUGAAUAACCAUGACAAGGGAUGUCUCCUACACGCUACUUAUAUAGAUGUGCUUGCAGUAAAACGGCCCUUAGAAUGCAGCAAUUGUAAUGCUAA